rnacentral:rRNA from 1 species
UACGUAGGUGGCAAGCGUUGUCCGGAUUUACUGGGCGUAAAGAGCGCGCAGGCGGCCAAGUCAGUCGAAUGUGAAAGCCCCCGGCUCAACUGGGGAGGGUCAUUCGAUACUGCUCGGCUCGAAGACAGGAGAGGGAAGUGGAAUUCCCGGUGUAGUGGUGAAAUGCGUAGAUAUCGGGAGGACACCAGUGGCGAAGGCGACUUUCUGGCCUGUUCUUGACGCUGAGGCGCGAAAGCUAGGGGAGCAAACGGG